CCUACGGGAGGCAGCAGUGAGGAAUAUUGGUCAAUGGUCGGGAGACUGAACCAGCCAAGCCGCGUGAGGGAUGAAGGUACAGAGUAUCGUAAACCUCUUUUGUCAGGGAACAAAGGCGGGGACGUGUCCCCGGAUGAGUGUACCUGAAGAAAAAGCAUCGGCUAACUCCGUGCCAGCAGCCGCGGUAAUACGGAGGAUGCGAGCGUUAUCCGGAUUUAUUGGGUUUAAAGGGUGCGCAGGCGGUCUGUUAAGUCAGCGGUAAAAGCCCGGGGCGUAACCCCGGCUCGCCGUUGAAACUGGCAUUCUCGAGUACGAGAGAGGUAUGCGGAAUGCGCGGUGUAGCGGUGAAAUGCUUAGAUAUCGCGCAGAACUCCGAUAGCGAAGGCAGCAUGCCGGCUCCACACUGACGCUGAGGCACGAAAGCGUGGGUAUCGAACAGGAUUAGAUACCCGAGUAGUC
rnacentral:rRNA from 1 species